AUUUCUUGAGUGCACACCAUAAGGCCUAAUUGGAUUCAGAUGGGAAAAAUCUGGGGCCCAUUCCUGGACUUUGACUUCAUUAUGGUGAAGCCAAACAGUAGUAGAAGCAUACAGUAUAUGAGACUUCACAAGAUCUUAUUGUAAAAUUGAAUCUCUCUAUAGAUGAAGGUUAGCUAUGAAAGGCACGAAAUGUUCCAAGAUUUCCUGUAGCAUUGUACAUUGACACACCCAUCAUAUGGAACCAAAUCACCUACUCCAAAAGAAUGAAAACACUUCCAUACUUCCUCUGGAAACAUUCACUUCUUGCUUCACACAACUUUGGAGGAGUCCUUCAUUUAGCUUGUGGAUGACUGUUCACUAUUUCCAUAUUGGAAUGGGAAAGGAGAUUUGUCAUAAUCAUAUUCUUCCGGUUAUCCUCCGUCUAGGAAAGAUGGUUUCUGUCCCAUGCCAAUCUCUUCUUUCAUUGAGCUGUAUCAACAUAGGUUUUUACUUACUCUUGUAAGAGCCAUAUCUCAUGUCAUGUAGCCUGCUAUUAGCAGUUUGUCAAGAUACAGGUUGGCUUAUAUGUUCAGUCCAUAGUUCUGCAGUUUCCAUGAAUGUACAAGGUUGCUGUUAAACAACAAGACAAUGCAAAACUCUAGCUUCUAACAAAACUAGCAGUAGUUUGAGGAAGGUUCUGACUGUAGAUUCAUUUAAGCCUAAUUCAAAAUCUAUCACAUAGUUAUUCCAUUUUGUUGUUGACUAUGGAGGAUCUUUUCAUGUAUUUGCAGUUCUAACAUCUUUUGCUAUUUUUCAAACUUGUGAAGUCUGCAGAAAGUGUAUCAGAUUUUAUAUUCUCUUUCAGUUGCAUGUGUUGACUGGAUUUAUCACAAAUCAAGAGGUAAAAUUUGCAUGUCCAGCCACUUGUUUGCCAAUGCUGGAUAUGUGUAAAUUUAUUGCUUCAGAGUUUUGGAAGGAAUAAUGUUUCUAGGCUUAUAUUGACAAGCCUGAUGUGGGGGUUAGCUCAAGUGGAGUAUUUUAUCGGUGAAUGAAAUAAAAAGAUUAAAUGGUAUGACAUCUAAUACAGCAAUAUUUGCAUAUAAUGUUAUUUUAUAGUGUAAGGCUGAAAAACAAACACCAGCUAUCUAAUUCAACCCAACAAUAUACUACCUGGAUUCAAUCUUGAGUCUUCUGGAUGAAACAGAAAUAGUUGUUAUUGAUUUACAAUAAAGAAUGAAUCAGUCACUUGGAAAUGUAUUGUACUUCAUCCUGGACCAUUUGUAAUCAAUUCUUGAUCCCCAAUUUUCAAAUUUUUUAGAAAUAAUUUGGACUAGGCUUAUUGAAUCCAGUUCAUUUUCUGAUGGCUUACCCUAGAUUUGUCUAUGGUAAAUACGGAAAUAUACCAUCUCUGGCAAGAAAGCAACAUAAAACAAGACCUCAGCAUAUGUAUGUGCAGUCCAUGAUAAAACAUUGAUAUGCAUUGCUGCUUAGUAUCCAAUAGAAUGAAAAGCAGCAUAAAAUUUAAUGGGAAGAAAGAUCAUUGAAGGAUAUAGGGGAUUCAUGGACA
rnacentral:lncRNA from 1 species